GUGAGGAAUAUUGGUCAAUGGCGGGAGCCUGAACCAGCCAAGUCGCGUGAAGGAAGAAGGAUCUAUGGUUCGUAAACUUCUUUUGCAGGGGAAUAAAGUGCGGGACGUGUCCUGUUUUGUAUGUACCCUGAGAAUAAGGAUCGGCUAACUCCGUGCCAGCAGCCGCGGUAAUACGGAGGAUCCGAGCGUUAUCCGGAUUUAUUGGGUUUAAAGGGUGCGUAGGUGGUUUGAUAAGUCAGCGGUGAAAGUUUGCAGCUUAACUGUAAAAAUGCCGUUGAAACUGUCGGACUUGAGUGUAAAUGAGGUAGGCGGAAUGCGUGGUGUAGCGGUGAAAUGCAUAGAUGUCACGCAGAACUCCGAUUGCGAAGGCAGCUUACUAAGCUACAACUGACACUGAAGCACGAAAGCGUGGGGAUCAAACAGGAUUAGAUACCCCUGUAGUCC
rnacentral:rRNA from 1 species